AGGACGAACGCUGGCGGCGUGCUUAACACAUGCAAGUGGAGCGACGAACCAGGGCUUGCCCUGGGGCAGAGCCGCGAACGGGUGAGUAACACGUGGGUUACCUGCCUCGAUGACCGGGACAACCCGAGGAAACUCGGGCUAAUACCGGAUGUGCCCGCAAGGGGAAAGGAAGCUUCGGCCUCCGCAUCGAGAUGGGCCCGCGGCCCAUUAGCUUGUUGGUGAGGUAACGGCUCACCAAGGCUUCGAUGGGUAGCUGGUCUGAGAGGACGAUCAGCCACACUGGGACUGAGACACGGCCCAGACUCCUACGGGAGGCAGCAGUGGGGAAUCUUGCGCAAUGCGCGAAAGCGUGACGCAGCAACGCCGCGUGGGGGAAGAAGGCUUUCGGGUUGUAACCCCUUUCAGUUGGACGAAGCUUCGGCGGUGAACAGCCGACCGGAGUGACGGUACCUUCACAAGAAGCACCGGCUAACUACGUGCCAGCAGCCGC
rnacentral:rRNA from 1 species